CAAUAGCGUAUAUUAAAGUUGUUGCGGUUAAAAAGCUCGUAGUUGGAUUUCUGUCGAAGGCGGCCGGUCCGCACUAUGUGCGUGCAUCUGGUUCGGUUUUGGCAUCCUCUUGGGAAGCAGUUUCUGUGCUUGAUUGCAUGGGCGGGAAUGACAAUGAACUUUACUUUUGAUGGAAAGAUUAGAGUGUUCACGGCAAGCUAUCGCUUUGAAUACAUUAGCAUGGAAUAAUAAUAUAGGGCGUGAGUUCUAUUUGUUGGUUUCUAGGACAUACGCAAUGAUUAAUAGGGACAAUUGGGGCGGAUUCGUAUUAACGCGUCAGAGGUGGAAUU
rnacentral:rRNA from 1 species